GAAGGAAGGGCGGCCUGGCUGCAACAACUGUCAGCCCAUUCUGCUUCCUGUGCAUCUCUCCCCAAGCUGCAGGUGUGGUGGAGGAGGACGACCUUCCCAAUGGAACAGCAAUGUUCUUUGGUUUGCGAGCACCUGUGCGUCUCUGCUACAACUUCCAAACCAGCUCCCGAGCUCCAUCUGUAGAGAAUGUAGUGUGGCUAAGCUUCCAAGUUCCACACUCAUCCAGUGAGACACUGCGUGUGGCAGUAAGUCUUUAACA
rnacentral:snRNA from 1 species